CAGGAGUGAUGCAGCAAGUGUUUCCGGAGGACCCCGCACGCGGCGGGGAGGGCAAGCCAUUGAUUCAUUUUCCUCUUCCAUCACACUCAGCGACAACCUCAACCGCAACCCGGAAGCGCUCGCGGAGCCCGGCGGGGGCGAAAGGCGCAGCACAGAGCCCCACUGCCACCAACCCUGCAACACCACUGUUGCCGGCGGAGCGUGUGGCCCUCUGCCGCUUCAUGGAGUAUGGCAACCAACCCAGACCUGCCUCAAUGUGGCUCUCUCGCCAUUCGGAGAUGCACUCCACGCCGGCGCAGCUCUUCGCCAACCACGCGGAACCGUCUCGCGCUGCAUUGGCCCCUCAGCAUCGAUGGUGCUUUGCCGCUCUCCGCCAGGCCAUGUCGCUCCUCUGUCGGGUUGUCCAACUAGACAGCUCCGGGUAUUAUCUGCGCGCGGCGUCUCCAUCGAAUACGGGUGCCGACGCGACCGCGGCGGCAGGCGGUGCACUACCCUUAUCCACCGAAGCUCCUGCGGCGACUGCGCGUGUGACGACACUGGAGCUGUACUGCCGCUUCCAAGCACUCGAACUCGAGCUCGAGGAUGCGGCGCUGCGAGCCGAGGCAGCGGCGCAGGCAGAUGCGGUUCCCGAGUCCAUACGGCAGCAACUGCGGUCUGAUGUGGAUGCGACAGUAGCGUGCAUCGAGGGUAGCUUGAAUGCGCUGGAGUGUACUCUCGUGCAGAUGCUGCUCGGCAGCUUUGCAGACUUCAGCGUCAACGGUGUGGGCACGGUGGACAUGCCUCUGGCGCCGUCCUUGGAGUAUGUGGCGAGAAUGUUGCGGGAGCUGCCGUCCGUGCUCCACGCGGAGCAAUGGCCCACUCAGUUUGUGUGUGAUAGCAAUGCUCCGUUAAACUGUGGCGGCACAGAGCUGCGGAACGCCGGGGCAAUCACAUCGUCGUCGUCCUCCGUCCUUGAGCGGACUCUACUCGGCAUUUCACCACUCUCGGGGGCCGACGCCGCCAUCUCGCAGCUUCUCGAGCAGCUCGGCGGUGCGACGACGUCGCUGGCUUUGCGGAGCUUGUUUGACCUCUGCCACGCGGACGUGUGGAACCUCCUCGGGGUAGCGGCGGCGUCUCCGAUCAGCCGGCUCGCCGCGCUCGAGAAACUCGCGGCGGCGGCGUCGAGUUGUUCGGCAAGUGCGGCCGGACCGUGCCGGCCCGUGCUCGACGCGGAGACUCUCGAGUUCAAAGAUAUUCUCGUGCGGGCGUGGAACCGCCAGUACGGCUGCAUCGGCCUCCGCCGCCUCUUCUUCGAGAUGCAGGUGCUGUUCUACCAGUACGCGAUGCAUGCGCAGGCCACGGCAAAGCAGUCCCGGGCCGGUAACGGUGCCGCCCUCCGUGACGUAUGCGGGCUGUGGGCCGCCUGGCGUCUCUCUCUGCAGAAGUGGUCAGCAGCGUUUCUGGCGAAGCUUGGCGCUCGCGAGCAGUCUGCGGAUGUUCUCGAUGCGUCGACGUUGAGGGCGGACGCGUGUGGCUUGAUGCGCCAGCACGCCAUUGCUGCCAGUGGUUUGGCGGAGGUGCAAAGGAUGGCUCUUCGCGUCAUCACAAAGUUGCAGGCUGUCGAUGCGAAGGGCUGGUUCGCUGUACCAGCAUUCGACCUUGUGAACGUCGAUUUCACGAGUGUGCGUUACUGGAUUUUGAGCCCCGUCUUUGCACGCAAGUCGAAGCGAGAGGCCUACCGCUCCCUCUGCCGCACGCUGGAGCGGAUGGUGGACGGCUGUGUGCAGAAGUACGGUCCGACACACGCCUUCAGCGAUGUCAUCACAACAGUGCGGCAGCAGCUCGUUGACGUGGCUCGUGCGGAGGGACUCUUGUAACGCGAAGGCGUCCGUGGAAGGAAAGGAACAAAGAGAACUCAUCACCGAGCGCGGCGAGCUAGACCGUGGAAAACACAGAAGGGACGCGUGCGAGAGUCUCACGCACUUGCGAUGUCAGCGACGCUCUGGUGGCAUACCGUGCGCAGACGCCCGUGUACCCCAGCAUGUUCUCUUUGACGGACAAGGCAGGUCCAGCUGUCUCUUCUCUGUGCUGUACGCUAUGCACUACAUCGGCGCAGGAAGGGGAGUCAAGCGCAGUGCAUUCUCUCUGAGGGGCUCUUCAGCGAAAAAAAAAGCAGACCGGAAAUAAACGGCAACGUCAGCAGUGGGGGCGACGCGUCCACCACCGUUCAAGCCGUCGCGUCUUGCCCGCUCUGUCUGUGUCUUGCUUUCUCCGGCUCCUCUCCAUCCCUGGAAGCGGCGCUGGCACACACGCACACACCAGCACACACGAUGAAGGCGGCAUCCUUCUCGCCGCCCCUGUUGCAUCGUGGAUUCCGCAGCAAUGCGCGACGAGGAGCGCGCCAAAAAAAAAC
rnacentral:misc_RNA from 1 species